rnacentral:rRNA from 1 species
ACGGUAACAGGAAGCAGCUUGCUGCUUCGCUGACGAGUGGCGGACGGGUGAGUAAUGUCUGGGAAACUGCCUGAUGGAGGGGGAUAACUACUGGAAACGGUAGCUAAUACCGCAUAACGUCGCAAGACCAAAGAGGGGGACCUUCGGGCCUCUUGCCAUCGGAUGUGCCCAGAUGGGAUUAGCUAGUAGGUGGGGUAACGGCUCACCUAGGCGACGAUCCCUAGCUGGUCUGAGAGGAUGACCAGCCACACUGGAACUGAGACACGGUCCAGACUCCUACGGGAGGCAGCAGUGGGGAAUAUUGCACAAUGGGCGCAAGCCUGAUGCAGCCAUGCCGCGUGUAUGAAGAAGGCCUUCGGGUUGUAAAGUACUUUCAGCGGGGAGGAAGGCGACAGGGUUAAUAACCCUGUCGAUUGACGUUACCCGCAGAAGAAGCACCGGCUAACUCCGUGCCAGCAGCCGCGGUAAUACGGAGGGUGCAAGCGUUAAUCGGAAUUACUGGGCGUAAAGCGCACGCAGGCGGUCUGUCAAGUC